ensembl:lncRNA
ACAGAGCGACGUUUUCGGCACUCUUCUCUACGACUCUACGCUGAAUACUCGCGCACUUCUGAUGAUGCUCCCAUGCAGACAACUCAAACUCAGACAGGACGUCGACACAAACACGUGCUAGUCAUUUGGAGCGACUGACGAAUGAUCCGCCGGGCGGUUCAGACCAAGCACAGAACCUGUCGGCCCCGUCCGGGAGGUACCGCGCCUUGCUCCUGGGACAGUCUUCAGGUUCCCUGCGACCCUGGAGAGGUUCGCCCGAGCGGAGAAUGACUCGAUGAUGUCAGCAGGGUAUGAUCCUGUCAUGAGUUUAGCAUCAACAGCACUGCGUGUGUGAUGUUGACCUUCACACGCUUGCGUGCGUGCGUGAGUGUGUGUGUGUGUG